CAAGAUGAUACCCCCACCGACUCAGCUAGCCAAGAAGUGUGUAGUAACGAAGCACGCUGGACUCCCGACGUGGAGAAUGCUUUCCGGGAGGCAGCAAAAUCUCACCCACCGGAAAAAGACUAUUCUACGGAUAUGAACAACGACGAUUCGAUAAAAAGCCGGAACCAGCUGAUUGCCAGUUAUAUAUGCGAACAAACCGGACUCAACAUCACUCCGGAACAAGUGGCUCGUCGCGAAACAUUAGCUCGCCUUGAAAAGGAAUUGAGAUGGCCGAUAGUAUUCCAACGCGUCGAAGCGGAACUAUCUAAAAGGUUAACUGCUUCUCUUCCAACCACUGCGGCAGCAAGCCAGACGGUGAUAGUGGCGCCAUCAACCAACGCC